ACUCCUACGGGAGGCAGCAGUGAGGAAUAUUGGUCAAUGGAGGGAACUCUGAACCAGCCAUCCCGCGUGUAGGAAGACGGCCUUAUGGGUUGUAAACUACUUUUAUACNGGAACGAAACGUACCCUCGUGAGGUGCCUGACGUACUGUAGGAAUAAGCACCGGCUAACUCCGUGCCAGCAGCCGCGGUAAUACGGAGGGUGCGAGCGUUAUCCGGAUUUAUUGGGUUUAAAGGGUCCGUAGGCGGAUUAAUAAGUCAGUGGU
rnacentral:rRNA from 1 species